AGGAAGGUCUGAGAUGCUGCAAAUAAAGAAGAUACAAAAAGGUGCAAAAGAACCAUACAUGUGGUUUUACAAAGUUUUGUCUAAAAUUUUUGUCCCCCACAUGUUUGGUUCUUUUCCACCUUUUGUUUUAUUCCUUGCGAAUUCUUCUUUUAAACUUUUUUUGAGAAAAAAAAUAUUGAAAAAAUAUUAAUUAGCUACCAGAAAUGCCAAUCAUACAUUUUUGUUCUGUCCCUUUCUCUUUUCUUUAGAGGGGAGGAACGGGGGCAGAAUAAAAAUGUAUGAUUUUGAAAAAGCUAAUAAGCAAGUAU
rnacentral:ribozyme from 1 species